UACAGAGGUCCCAAGCGUUGUUCGGAUUCACUGGGCGUAAAGGGUGCACAGGUGGUCGGGUAAGUCUGAUGUGAAAUCUCGGAGCUCAACUCCGAAACUGCAUUGGAUACUAUUCGGCUUGAGGUCUGGAGGGGGGACUGGAAUUCUCGGUGUAGCAGUGAAAUGCGUAGAUAUCGAGAGGAACACCAGUGGCGAAGGCGAGUCCCUGGACAGGUCCUGACGCUGAGGCACGAAAGCUAGGGGAGCAAACAGG
rnacentral:rRNA from 1 species